GUAAGCUCUUGUUGAUUCAGAAAUACAUGCCUCCGCUCGCAAAACUUCAAACUGCAUUAUCUCUAAAACGACAAUAGAUAUCUCAAAUCUGUUAAAUGAUAAAUGAUCUACAGUUGAAGGACAGCAUUAAAGAAAAAGAAUUGGAACAAUUUCAAAGUUCACCAAGGUCACAAUUAAUCAUCAAAUAUAUGAUGCAAUACCAAACUUAAGAACCGGAAGUCGUAGAGACAUGGGACUAGCACCAUUCAACUCAGGAC
rnacentral:lncRNA from 1 species